GGAGAGAUGGCUGAGUGGACUAAAGCGUCAAAUUGCUAAUCCGGUGUACGAGUUUUUCAUAUCGAGGGUUCGAAUCCCUCUCUUUCCG
rfam:Eucalyptus grandis cultivar BRASTZ1 unplaced genomic scaffold scaffold_9, whole genome shotgun sequence.